rnacentral:miRNA from 1 species
UGAGCCAUCUCUCCAGCCCUGCAGAACAAUAUUUAAAAGUCUACAAGUCUUGGGCUGAAGAGAUGGCUCAGCAG